UACAGAGACUGCAAGCGUUACUCGGAAUCACUGGGCUUAAAGGGUGCGUAGGCGGCGCAGUAAGUUGGGUGUGAAAUCCCUCGGCUUAACCGAGGAAUUGCGCCCAAAACUACUGUGCUCGAGGGAGGUAGAGGUGAGCGGAACUUAGGGUGGAGCGGUGAAAUGCGUUGAUAUCCUAAGGAACACCGGUGGCGAAAGCGGCUCACUGGACCUCUUCUGACGCUGAGGCACGAAAGCUAGGGUAGCAAACGGG
rnacentral:rRNA from 1 species